rnacentral:rRNA from 1 species
GGGGUAACGGCCCACCAUGGCUUCGACGGGUAGCCGGCCUGAGAGGGCGACCGGCCACAUUGGGACUGAGAUACGGCCCAGACUCCUACGGGAGGCAGCAGUGGGGAAUAUUGCACAAUGGGCGCAAGCCUGAUGCAGCGACGCCGCGUGAGGGAUGGAGGCCUUCGGGUUGUAAACCUCUUUUAGCAGGGAGCAAGGCUUCGGUUGAGUGUACCUGUUGAAUAAGCACCGGCUAACUACGUGCCAGCAGCCGCGGUAAUACGUAGGGUGCAAGCGUUAUCCGGAAUUAUUGGGCGUAAAGGGCUCGUAGGCGGUUCGUCGCGUCUGGUGUGAAAGUCCAUCGCUUAACGGUGGAUCUGCGCCGGGUACGGGCGGGCUGGAGUGCGGUAGGGGAGACUGGAAUUCCCGGUGUAACGGUGGAAUGUGUAGAUAUCGGGAAGAACACCAAUGGCGAAGGCAGGUCUCUGGGCCGUUACUGACGCUGAGGAGCGAAAGCGUGGGGAGCGAACAGGAUUAGAUACCCUGGUAGUCCACGCCGUAAACGGUGGACGCUGGAUGUGGGGCCCAUUCCACGGGUUCCGUGUCGGAGCUAACGCGUUAAGCGUCCCGCCUGGGGAGUACGGCCGCAAGGCUAAAACUCAAAGAAAUUGACGGGGGCCCGCACAAGCGGCGGAGCAUGCGGAUUAAUUCGAUGCAACGCGAAGAACCUUACCUGGGCUUGACAUGUUCCCGACGGCCCCAGAGAUGGGGCUUCCCUUCGGGGCGGGUUCACAGGUGGUGCAUGGUCGUCGUCAGCUCGUGUCGUGAGAUGUUGGGUUAAGUCCCGCAACGAGCGCAACCCU